rnacentral:lncRNA from 12 species
GAGAGGCAUCCCAAAGCAGAGUCAGAGCUGCUUGAACUUCACACACAGCCAUCCUUCUGCAGGGAGACUGCCACCACUAGGGUGCUGCGCGCAGUCAUUAAGCUACAACUACAGUCUCCCACCUCAAGCCCUAAAUUGGAAGCCGGGGACGCCAAGGCAGAGAACUAUCAUCUUCAAGGCCUAGAUCCCAUCCUUCCCUUUCAAAACACCUCCAUAAAGAAGCUGAGUAUUUCACGGCGGAAUUGUUCGUGGAUAAAGCUGCAAGUAACAUUAACUCGAGAUACUAUAGGUGCCAGCAUUUCAAGUACUAGUCAUGGUAUUUUUUCUCCUGGAGUCAUAAUAUUGAGUAAGACCCAGCAAAUGCAAAAUAAAAGGAUGAUGGAUUCCCUCAGUAAAUGCUCUCAAGAGUCUCAGAUUUAAAAUCAGAGCCUAAGAGAGGUCGUCUAACUAUCAUUUGAAACUGGGAUUCUUUUCUUAAGAUGCUAUCUCUCUCCACGGUAACAUCUUCAUGGUCCCCAGGGUCCCUUGAGCAGGGUGGGGCAGGUCUUGGAUGAUUAAACCCCAGGAUGUAUCAUGACGUCCCAGGAAACUCUGGGUUCACAAUCCUAUCCCCGCAAGGGAAGACAAGUUCAACAAUGUGAGAUGGAGGAUUCCUCCCAGAAUGCAGUUCUCCUUAGAAUUCGCUUCUUCCAAGAGUCCAAGUCUAGGAGCCUCAUUAUCCAUUCAAGGCAAGGAAGCAGCUUCGUAGAUUGGUAUGCACAAGAGCAGUAAUUUUCAAAGGAAACCAUCAGUAAUUUGGGGGGCUAGUUAUAUCUCCCCACAAAAAUCUGCUGAAUAAAUAUUGAGGAGCUUAUGCGUUCCCA